UACAUGCAAGUCGAGCGAGCGGAACCAACAGAUUUACUUCGGUAAUGACGUUGGGAAAGCGAGCGGCGGAUGGGUGAGUAACACGUGGGGAACCUGCCCCUAAGUCUGGGAUACCAUUUGGAAACAGGUGCUAAUACCGGAUAAUAAAGCAGAUCGCAUGAUCAGCUUUUGAAAGGCGGCGUAAGCUGUCGCUAAGGGAUGGCCCCGCGGUGCAUUAGCUAGUUGGUAAGGUAACGGCUUACCAAGGCGACGAUGCAUAGCCGAGUUGAGAGACUGAUCGGCCACAUUGGGACUGAGACACGGCCCAAACUCCUACGGGAGGCAGCAGUAGGGAAUCUUCCACAAUGGACGCAAGUCUGAUGGAGCAACGCCGCGUGAGUGAAGAAGGUUUUCGGAUCGUAAAGCUCUGUUGUCGGGGACGAAUGUUGAGACCUAGAACAUAGGUUUCAAAUGACGGUACCCGACGAGGAAGCCACGGCUAACUACGUG
rnacentral:rRNA from 1 species